AUUGAACGCUGGCGGCAUGCUUUACACAUGCAAGUCGAACGGUAACAGGCCGCAAGGUGCUGACGAGUGGAGGACGGGUGAGUAAUGCAUCGGAACGUGCCCAGUCGUGGGGGAUAACGCAGCGAAAGCUGUGCUAAUACCGCAUACGAUCUGUGGAUGAAAGCGGGGGACCGUAAGGCCUCGCGCGAUUGGAGCGGCCGAUGUCAGAUUAGGUAGUUGGUGGGGUAAAGGCUCACCAAGCCGACGAUCUGUAGCUGGUCUGAGAGGACGACCAGCCACACUGGGACUGAGACACGGCCCAGACUCCUACGGGAGGCAGCAGUGGGGAAUUUUGGACAAUGGGCGCAAGCCUGAUCCAGCAAUGCCGCGUGCAGGAAGAAGGCCUUCGGGUUGUAAACUGCUUUUGUACGGAACGAAAAGGUUUGGGUUAAUACCCUGGGCCGAUGACGGUACCGUAAGAAUAAGCACCGGCUAACUACGUGCCAGCCGCCGCGGUAACAC
rnacentral:rRNA from 1 species